GAAAUGCGAUAAGUAGUGUGAAUUGCAGAAUUCAGUGAAUCAUCGAAUCUUUGAACGCACAUUGCGCCCUUUGGUAUUCCUUAGGGCAUGCCUGUUCGAGCGUCAUCUAAACCUUCAAGCCCUGCUUGGUGUUGGGUGCCUGUCCCGCCUCGCGCGCGGACUCACCUCAAAUCCAUUGGCGGCCCCCGCGUCGGCCACGAGCGCAGCAGAAACGCGAACUCGUGAGCCCGUCCGGGCGGCUCCCAGAAGCUACACCCACCCAGUUUGACCUCGGAUCAGGUAGGGAUACCCGCUGAACUUAAGC
rnacentral:misc_RNA from 1 species